rnacentral:rRNA from 1 species
UCAAGCUACAAAGAGCAUACGGUGGAUGCCUAGGCGCACAGGGCCGAAGAAGGACGUGGUAAGCUGCGAAAAGCUACGGGGAGCCGCAAGCAGGCCUCGAUCCGUAGAUAUCCGAAUGGGGCAACCCGGCGGGGGCGAACCCCCGUCACCGUACACUGAAUCCAUAGGUGUGCGGAGGGCACCCGGCGAACUGAAACAUCUUAGUAGCCGGAGGAAGAGAAAGAAAAAUCGAACCCCCCAGUAGCGGCGAGCGAAAAGGGGCGAGCCCAAACCAGUUUUCUUUGGAGAACUGGGGUUGCGGGACUCUCAAAAACAUUGUGGAAGACUUAGUCGAAGCGGCCUGGAAAGGCCCGCCGCAGGAAGUAACAGCCUUGUAGACAAAAAGUAUGAAACAAUAGAGAGGAUCCCAAGUACCACGGGACACGAGGAACCCCGUGGGAAUCCGGGGGGACCACCCCCCAAGGCUAAAUACCCUGAGCGACCGAUAGUGAACAAGUACCGUGAGGGAAAGGUGAAAAGCACCCCGGGAGGGGAGUGAAAGAGAACCUGAAACCGUAUGCUUACAAACAGUCAGAGCACGUUAAAAGUGUGAUGGCGUACUUUUUGUAGAACGGACCGGCGAGUUACAUCCAGCGGGCAAGGUUAAGCGGAAGAGACGCGGAGCCGGAGCGAAAGCAAGUCUUAAUAGGGCGAAAGUCCGUUGGAGUAGACCCGAAACCGGGUGAUCUACCCAUGUCCAGAGUGAAGCUCUAGUAAAAUAGAGUGGAGGCUCGAACCGACCGUCGUUGAAAAGGCGGCGGAUGAGGUGUGGGUAGGGGUGAAAUGCCAAUCGAACCCGGAAAUAGCUGGUUCUCCCCGAAAUAGCUUUAGGGCUAGCCUUGGGAAUAAAUACCGGAGGUAGAGCACUGACUGGGCUAGGGGUCUUCACCGAUUACCGAACCCAAUCAAACUCCGAAUGCCGGAUAUUAGGAUCCCAGGAGUCAGACUGCGGGUGCUAAGAUUCGUAGUCGAGAGGGAAACAGCCCGGACCGCCGGCUAAGGUCCCCAAGACAGGCUAAGUGGAAAAGGAUGUGGAGUUGCCCGGACAACCAGGAUGUUGGCUUAGAAGCAGCCACCAUUUAAAGAGUGCGUAAUAGCUCACUGGUCAAGUGGCUCUGCGCCGAAAAUGUAACGGGGCUAAGCCUGUCACCGAAGCCGCGGAUCUGAGAAGUGAGAGGUGAGAGGUUGGAAGUGAGAGAGAAAAUAAGCUCAUUUAACAACCUGAAAGUGUAUCAAAAAAGUUAUCAAUUAGCUUUGGAGAUACACAAGAUAACGAGAACAUUUCCAGACAUUGAAAGAUAUGAGCUUGGCACACAACUACGCAGGUCGGCGGUAUCUAUACCGGCAAACAUAGCCGAAGGAUAUGGCCGGAAAAAAUCCAAUGCGGAAUUCAAGCAUUUCUUGCGAAAUGCACUGGGUUCAUGUAACGAAGUUCAAGUGCUGUUAAGCCUAUCAAAAGACCUGGGUUAUAUUGCAGAUGACGAAUAUGUACAGCAAUAUGAUGAGCUGGGAAAACAAAUCUAUCGACUAAUAGAGGUCUGGAAAUAAAAUCUCACAUCUAACUUCUCACAUCUCACCUCUCAGAUGGUAGGGGAGCGUUGUAUGUGCGACGAAGGAGUACCGUAAGGAGCUGUGGAGCGCAUACAAGUGAGAAUGCCGGUAUAAGUAAACGCAAAGGCAGGUGAGAAUCCUGCCCGCCGAAAACCUAAGGUUUCCUGGGGAAGGCUCGUCCGCCCAGAGUAAGCCGGGGCCUAAGCCGAGGCGAAAAGCGUAGGCGAUGGAGAAUCGGUUGAGAAUCCGAUGCCACUUACAGCCGUUUGGAGGAUGGGGUGACACAGGAGGGUAAGCUAAGCGCGCGGAUGGAAAAGCGCGUCCAAGGUGGUAGGGUGAGAGAUAGGCAAAACCGUCUCUUGAAAAGCCCGAGAACUGAAGGGGAGCGAAAACAAGUAGCGAAGUAGCCGAACCCAAACUGUCGAGAAAAACCCCUAACGAGGCAAGUAAGUGCCCGUACCGCAAACCGACACAGGUAGGUGGGGUGAGAAUCCUAAGGCGCGCGAGAGAACCCUCGUUAAGGAACUCGGCAAAAUAACCCCGUAACUUCGGGAGAAGGGGUACCCCGUUAGCGUGAAGGGUGAACACUUGGAGCGCGAGGGGGUCGCAGAGAAAGGGCCCAAGCGACUGUUUAGCAAAAACACAGGUCCCUGCUAAAUCGAAAGAUGACGUAUAGGGGCUGACGCCUGCCCGGUGCUGGAAGGUUAAGGGGAGAGCUUAGGGGAAACCCGAAGGUUUGAACCGAAGCCCCAGUAAACGGCGGCCGUAACUAUAACGGUCCUAAGGUAGCGAAAUUCCUUGUCGGGUAAGUUCCG